UAGGGAAUCUUCCGCAAUGGGCGAAAGCUUGACGGAGCAACGCCGCGUGAGUGAUGAAGGUCUUCGGAUCGUAAAACUCUGUUAUUAGGGAAGAACAAAUGUGUAAGUAACUAUGCACGUCUUGACGGUACCUAAUCAGAAAGCCACGGCUAACUACGUGCCAGCAGCCGCGGUAAUACGUAGGUGGCAAGCGUUAUCCGGAAUUAUUGGGCGUAAAGCGCGCGUAGGCGGUUUAAUAAGUCGAAUGUUAAAGAUCGGGGCUCAACCCCGUAAAGCAUUGGAAACUGAUAAACUUGAGUAGUGGAGAGGAAAGUGGAAUUCCUAGUGUAGUGGUGAAAUACGUAGAUAUUAGGAGGAAUACCAGUAGCGAAGGCGACUUUCUGGACACAAACUGACGCUGAGGUACGAAAGCGUGGGGAGCAAACAGG
rnacentral:rRNA from 1 species